UAAUACAGAGGGUGCGAGCGUUAAUCGGAUUUACUGGGCGUAAAGGGUGCGUAGGCGGAUGUAUGAGUGUGAUGUGAAAGCCCCGGGCUUAACCUGGGAAGCGCAUCGCAAACGAUAUAUCUGGAGUAGAUGAGAGGGUGGCGGAAUUUCCGGUGUAGCGGUGAAAUGCGUAGAGAUCGGAAGGAACGUCGAUGGCGAAGGCAGCCACCUGGCAUCAUACUGACGCUGAAGCACGAAAGCGUGGGUAGCGAACAGGAUUAGAUACCCUGGUAGUCCACGCUGUAAACGAUGAGAACUAAAUGUUAGUAGGGGAACCUAUUAGUAUUGAAGCUAACGCGAUAAGUUCUCCGCCUGGGAAGUACGGCCGCAAGGUUG
rnacentral:rRNA from 1 species